CUUUGCAUUCGACUUUCCCACUGAACUUUCUCCUGUAGUUCCAUAUGGCAGAGAUGCUGGGCUGGGGACGUCCCAGGAGGGCAAAGAGAGUCAACAUGGAAGAACCUGGUGUCAUGCCUUACUGAAGAGCUUCAACAUGAAGGAGUGAUCUUUUUUGUAUAUGUGUGAGAGAUCCUAGCCCGCUUGCUCACUCUCCUACAAGAAACAGAUCAUCUCUGUCGCAGUUUCCCUGACAGACAUGAACACCUCCUCCAGCAGGUGGUGCCCCUUCUCCACCCACCCGGGUGGAGGAGCAUCCUUGACUCUGAUUUUCCAUACCUAAAGCUGGACAACAGCUCUAGAGACUGCCUAUUCUUUUAAAUAAAAAGAUCUGUGCGAUAUUAGUAGAAGUG